rnacentral:rRNA from 1 species
UACAGAGGGAGCUAGCGUUGUUCGGAAUUACUGGGCGUAAAGCGCACGUAGGCGGCUUUUUAAGUCAGGGGUGAAAUCCCGGGGCUCAACCCCGGAACUGCCCUUGAAACUGGAGAGCUAGAAUCUUGGAGAGGCGAGUGGAAUUCCGAGUGUAGAGGUGAAAUUCGUAGAUAUUCGGAAGAACACCAGUGGCGAAGGCGACUCGCUGGACAAGUAUUGACGCUGAGGUGCGAAAGCGUGGGGAGCAAACAGG